CAUAAAAAUCAUCAUCACCCCCCUCUUGCCAUAAAUUAUGAAUGUUUUCAGUUAUCAAGACUAAUACCCCUAGGACCCUGUGACAGGCUACUGAGUGACUGUAGAUUUCCCUCCC